rnacentral:rRNA from 1 species
GACGAACCGUGCAAACGUUAUUCGGAAUCACUGGGCUUAAAGGGCGCGUAGGCGGGCAACCAAGUCCGAGGUGAAAUCCUCCAGCUUAACUGGAGAAGUGCCCCGGAUACUGGCUGCCUCGAGGAGGGUAGGUGCAUCUGGAACUAGCGGUGGAGCGGUGAAAUGCGUUGAUAUCGCUAGGAACUCCGGUGGCGAAGGCGAGGUGCUGGACCCUUUCUGACGCUGAGGCGCGAAAGCCAGGGGAGCGAACGGG